AACGAACGCUGGCGGCAUGCCUAACACAUGCAAGUCGAACGAGACCUUCGGGUCUAGUGGCGCACGGGUGCGUAACGCGUGGGAACCUGCCCUUAGGUUCGGAAUAACUCCCCGAAAGGGGUGCUAAUACCGGAUAAUGUCUUCGGACCAAAGAUUUAUCGCCUUUGGAUGGGCCCGCGUUGGAUUAGCUAGUUGGUAGGGUAAAAGCCUACCAAGGCGACGAUCCAUAGCUGGUCUGAGAGGAUGAUCAGCCACACUGGGAGUGAGACACGGCCCAGAAUCCUACGGGAGGGAGCAGAGGGGAAUAUUGGACAAUGGGCGAAAGGCUGAAGGAGCAAUGCCGCGUGAGUGAUGAAGGCAUUAGGGUUGUAAAGCUCUUUUAACCGGGAUGAUAAUGACGGUACCGGGAGAAUAAGCCCCGGCUAACUACGUG
rnacentral:rRNA from 1 species